GAUGAACGCUGGCGGCGUGCCUAAUACAUGCAAGUCGAGCGAACAGACGAGGAGCUUGCUUCUCUGACGUUAGCGGCGGACGGGUGAGUAACACGUGGAUAACCUACCUAUAAGACUGGGAUAACUUCGGGAAACCGGAGCUAAUACCGGAUAAUAUAUUGAACCGCAUGGUUCAAUAGUGAAAGACGGUUUUGCUGUCACUUAUAGAUGGAUCCGCGCCGCAUUAGCCAGUUGGUAAGGUAACGGCUUACCAAGGCAACGAUGCGUAGCCGACCUGAGAGGGUGAUCGGCCACACUGGAACUGAGACACGGUCCAGACUCCUACGGGAGGCAGCAGUAGGGAAUCCUCCGCAAUGGGCGAAAGCCUGACGGAGCAACGCCGCGUGAGUGAUGAAGGUCUUCGGAUCGUAAAACUCUGUUAUUAGGGAAGAACAAAUGUGUAAGUAACUAUGCACGUCUUGACGGUACCUAAUCAGAAAGCCACGGCUAACUACGUG
rnacentral:rRNA from 1 species